ACUACUGACUGAUGACCUUCAGGU
rnacentral:piRNA from 1 species